ACCGCUGAGCCCCGGGCUGGCCUCUUUCCGUACUCUAAGGUGAUCUGUACAGUUCGUUCCCCCCAUCGACACCUGCCCGCAUUUCAGCGAGCGGUCUUCGGCGGCUUCUGGAAGCCCGCACUCUCCCCCGCGGCCCUUCCCGCCCGCACCUCCAAAGACUCCCGCCCCCGCUUCCCUCCGUCCUGCGGCGGCCGAGCAGGUGGUAGGAGGCCGCGAGGCCGGAGCUUUCCCAGGGUCCCGGAAGUCUCGGCCGCCGCAGGCUCGGGAACGCCCCGGGGCCCCGCUAGGCGGCUCCGUGCCUCCCCGCCCAAGGCCUCCGGUCCCGGCGCGGACGCAGCCCCAGGGAGGCCGGCCGUCGCCUCCCCGCCCGAGCUGACCCGCGGAGCGCGCUCCCGUGCUUCCCGGUGGCUGGAGUCCUCGCGCGCCGCUGCUCCCGCGGGGUCUUUGCUCGGCGAGCGGGCUUCCUUCCAGGCCUCAGGCUCGCUCUGCGCCCGCGUGAGGUCCCAACUGUCGGGUCCCGUCCGCCUCGCUUCGCGAGCCGGCAAAGUGCGUCCCUUCUCGCUUGCCUUAUGCCGGGCGAGGCGGGGACCGCACUACAGUGCAGCGGGCCGGAGGGGGGGACGCUCCCGGGCGGCGCUCUGCUUUCCAGCGGCGACGCCAGCUCCCGAGGAAACCGCCGUUCGCUCUGCCGCGGAGCAGCAGUAUUCGGUCCCGGGAGCCCGCGCAGGAGCGGGGAAGGGUCACCGCCUCGAGCCAGGCAGCGGGCGCGCCCCUCUCCUCCCCCUCGCUUCCGCUUCGUCGGAACGGCCCGGAGCUGCGAGCGCGCCGGCCGCGGCGGAGCUUCCCCGGCGCUUGACAGCUCGGCGCGAGCACCGCGGGCCUGGAGCCCCGGCUCGGGGGCGGGGCGAGCGCGCGCGGGGCGGGGCGGGGCGGGGCGGGGCGGGGCGAGCGCGGGCCGGGGCAGAGGAGCGAGCGCGCGAGCGGAGCCGAGCGGCGCCGAGCGGAGCCGGGAGGUGCUGGGGAGAGGCAGGCAGAGCCCGCCGGCCGCCUGCGGCUCCGCGCGGAUCGUGCUGCGUCGCCGGGCGCCGCGAACCCCCGCCUCUGCCCGGGCUCCCGCAAAACUUUUAUUCUCUGGGGCUCCUCGGGGUGUCUGCAGGCAUCGGAGCGCUCGGCCGGCGCUGCGCUGCGCUCCGCCGCCGCGGCCACCGAGGGGACGUGCAUGCCUCGCCCGCUGGGCUCCCGCGCCCCGCGCCUCCUCACCUGCUGCUGAUCGCUCCCCGGGCGGCGAGGGGGUACCGCGGAGGGGCCGCCCCCCGCCCCGAAUCCUCCCGCCCACCGCGGUGGACUCGCCCGGCGCAACUUCAACUUGAAUCCUCCCGCCCGGCUCGCGGCCACCGCUGCCGUCUGGGCCGCCGCCUCACAAAGGGGCGCGGGGAGGGGAGGCGGCGCGGUCCGCGGGCUCGGGCGCCGGUGCGCAGGGCGCGGGCCUCCCCGCCGCCGAGGCCGGAGACAAAAGGGAAACUGCCUGCGUUCGCGGUGCGGGCCGGGAGCCGCCUGCUCGCCCGCCUGCCGCCCGGCUCGGCGAGUCUCCUCCCCCCGCCCUCGGCCGCUGCUCCGCCUCCCUCCCCGCGGGCCGGCCCCGCCGCGCAGGGCUCCGGGACCCGGCGAGCCUUCGGGGCCCCCGCGCGUCGCUGCUGGUGGUUGGGGCUGUAG
rnacentral:lncRNA from 1 species